ensembl:lncRNA
GUACCAUGCACUAAAAGUGUGUAUACUACGUAUAGCAUGCACUAAAAGUGUGUAUACUACGCGUACCAUGCACUAAAAAUGUGUAUACUACGUAUAGCAUGCACUAAAAGUGUGUAUACUACGCGUACCAUGCACUAAAAGUGUGUAUACUACGUAUAGCAUGCACUAAAAGUGUGUAUACUACGUAUACCAUGCCCUAAAAGUGUGUAUACUACGUAUAGCAUGCACUAAAAGUGUGUAUACUACGUAUAGCAUGCACUGAAAGUGUGUAUACUACGUAUACCAUGCCCUAAAGUGUGUAUACUACGUAUAGCAUGCACUAAAAGUGUGUAUACUACGUAUAGCAUGCACUGAAGUUGUGUAGAAAAAGCACACACAUUUGAGUGUGUAGCAAAAGAGUAUGCAAGGAUCAGGGACAACCUAACACGUCAUGUAACGGAAGAGAACAAACAUUUCAGCUUUUUUUUUUUCAACUAGUUGUUGCCUAGUUACGCACACUUGCUGUGAACAAACAUUUCAGCUUUUCCUCAUUCACGAUUCCUUAUAUAAUUUCUGCUAUCUUCCCUAAAACGCAUCCUACCUUAAUGCCGAGAGACGCGGCGCACCGUCGCAGAUCUACCAGACGCAGAUCCGCCAUGUCUCAAGGUCGAAUUCGCCAAAGCCAACCGGUCGCAAAACUCCUCCUCCCUCGUUCAAGGAGUCGGAGUUGGAAAAUCAGCUGAAAAAGUCUCCCCGGAUCCACACUUCAAAAAUCUACAGGACGUACUAGACCAUCCGGGUACCUUUUGGAUACUCGUUUCAACAUGCUACGAUUUGGGACACACCCAUCGUGACCUCGGAUACUAUUUAGGACGCACAGUAGGUGAAUUGGGACGCGGCAUUUGUUUACGCUUAUAAGUACAUUAUUAUAUAGUUGCGUAUCUGCUUUCAUUGAACUUUUACACUAAAAACGAGAGAAUAUAUCUUUACAUCAGGUACAGGUUACUGUGAGGAACAACACCGACGCAAUUAAGAGAUGUGUUUUUCCUUCAUGGGUCGCUGCCGUUGGUAAAGUGUGUGUAACUGUAAGUGAGCUUCGCGUGCUUCGCUGCGUGUAUCUGCAGAGUUUAGGACAGACAUUAGGACUGUAUCCUUCAUUAGUGUUAAUCAGGCUUUUACUCCAUCAGGCCUGCUUUCCCUCUGUGCCACGGCCUCCGAGGCCCUCAUUAACACACCGGUGUGUGUUAGCGAGCAAACAGCCUCGUUAGUCUCGUUAUACUAUGCAUGAGUGGUGCCGUGUGUGUGUCUCUCUCUCUCUCUCUCUCUCUCUCUCUCUGUGUGUGUGUUUGCGAUUCCUUCUUCGUGCCCUUCCAACCCGCAAAAAUGUAGCAAAAGGUCACGACCUCAGGUGGUGUGUGUAUUGUGUGUAGAGUGCAAGUGUGUAGUUCUGGUGUUUCCAGGUAAAGCCACCAGUUUACUGUUGAUAUGUAAACACCACCACACAGGAAUAAUAGUGCGCGGUUGCAAGUGGAUUCACACCAUUUAUUUUCAGCGCGCCCGCCUCCCGCGUGGGCUAAAAACACUUUCGUUUUCUCAGAUGGAUGAAAAAAAACAAAAACAAACAAAAAAAAAAAAAAAAGAAAGAGUCAUUUUAAUUAAACACACCGCCACUAAUCACUUGGAUUUCACACCAUGUUUUCUCCUACAGCUGUGUGGUUGCCCUUGUACCAAGUUUAUGGUAAAUUGCUGUGAUUAUUAGCCACAAUCUGCUAACUGCCUAUAGAAGCAGAUGGUUCAUGAGUAGGGCUCGGAUGAGUCAUUACUACUUAUUUAUUUAUUUAUUUAUUUAUUUAUCUGCAUCCGAAGGCGAACAGAAUGCAGUCGUUUUCAUUUCAUAAAAGAUCAUUAAUAUGCAAUGGAUAUAAUAUAAUUAAAUGUGAUAUAAUACCGCUGCAGUCUUAAAUCUCUCUGUUGUGAUGUAUACAGGACAAUAUUUAUUUAUUUGUUUGUUUGUUUAUUUAUUUCUUAUAGAAUGCGAAUACAUUCUUUUGAGGGAAAUGAUGAUAUGUUCUAAACAGAUACAAAUAGAGAGAUGAAUAGGAGGCACACUUCAGUUUAUUAGGAGCUAUCCGGUCAGCCAAUCAUAUGGCAGCGGUGCAAAGCAUGACAUUACACGGAUACAGGUCGAGAGGUUCAGUUAAUGUUCACGUCAGACAUCUGAAUGGGGGGGGGGGG